CCUACGGGAGGCAGCAGUGGGGAAUAUUGGACAAUGGGCGGAAGCCUGAUCCAGCAACGCCGCGUGAGGGAUGACGGCCUUCGGGUUGUAAACCUCUUUCAGCGGGGCGAAGUUUUGUCUUUUUGGGCGAAGUGACGGUACCCGCAGAAGAAGCACCGGCCAACUACGUGCCAGCAGCCGCGGUAAUACGUAGGGUGCGAGCGUUGUCCGGAAUUAUUGGGCGUAAAGGGCUCGUAGGCGGUUUGUCACGUCGGGAGUGAAAACUCGGGGCUUAACUCCGAGCCUGCUUCCGAUACGGGCUGACUAGAGGUAUGCAGGGGAGAACGGAAUUCCUGGUGUAGCGGUGAAAUGCGCAGAUAUCAGGAGGAACACCGGUGGCGAAGGCGGUUCUCUGGGCAUUACCUGACGCUGAGGAGCGAAAGUGUGGGGAGCGAACAGGAUUAGAUACCCUGGUAGUCCACACCGUAAACGUUGGCGCUAGGUGUGGGGCUCGAUUCCACGAGUUCCGUGCCGCAGCUACGCAUAGCGCCCGCCGUCGGGACGGUACGGCCGCGACGGACGUAAACGUACAAUAGAAUAGACGGCGUGAGACGNGCCGACGGACGACGACGAGGAGUAGG
rnacentral:rRNA from 1 species